UUGAUUUAUGUUUACAUCGACCACGACGACUAUCCAAGAUGAAAUUCUUGAUGCAAGCACUUGUUUCGAUUGUAACCAACUGUUCUGCAUAGAUCGUAACAUUUUGGUUCACUCUUCUCCCUCAAAUCCAUGUGAUUUUGAAUCCUUUUUGCUUGCGACCAACCUUUGGACACUCUACAUAGCCCUGGGUUAUUAUACAG
rnacentral:lncRNA from 1 species